CGUGCGGUUCUAUUUUGUUGGUUUUUGGAAUCGCCGUAAUGAUUAAUAGGGACAGUCGGGGGCAUUAGUACUCACAUGCUAGAGGUGAAAUUCUUGGAUUUUGUGAAGACUAACUUCUGCGAAAGCAUUUGCCAAGGAUGUUUUCAUUAAUCAGGAACGAAAGUUAGGGGAUCGAAGACGAUCAGAUACCGUCGUAGUCUUAACCAUAAACUAUGCCGAUUAGGGAUCGGACGGUGUUAUUUUUUGACCCGUUCGGCACCUUACGAUAAAUCAAAAUGUUUGGGCUCCUGGGGGAGUAUGGUCGCAAGGCUGAAACUUAAAGGAAUUGACGGAAGGGCACCACCAGGCGUGGAGCCUGCGGCUUAAUUUGAUUCAACACGG
rnacentral:rRNA from 1 species